UGCGAGAAUUAAUGCUAGUACAAGGCUUCUUCAACAAGCUAUUUUAGCUUCAAGACUUAAUUACUUAAAGAGUUUGCACUUGCAAGCCAGAGUUCUGUAAUGUCCUGAACAUCCAUCAGAGCGGUGGUCCAUGGUUCAACGGUAUGGGCGGAGUGUAAGGAGUGGAGACUGCAAACAAAGCUCCUGCCACUCUGGUUUCAACUCUGAGGAAAAGGAAAACAUAUAAGUCUUCUAAAUCUCUUGGGAUAUGUGUGGACCUGGUCUGUGAUGACAUGAAGGAUGAGAGGCCUUUCUAUGAGGAGCACAAUAUUUUUCAUGUCAUGACAAAAAUAAGACCACUUUAGUGCCAGUAACUCCUGAAAAGAUGACAGAACAUGAAGUAUGAGGUAAAGAAGACCAAGAUGUGGAGGAGGUCAUGUGAAGAAGGCGCUCCUAGAACACGAAUAAUGUGAAUUUCAAGUGGAAAAAGCUACCAGUGACAUGUAGCUUCAAAUGUACGGAAAGUUCUUGUUGAUCUUUUCCUGAAGAUCUCUUGGUUUAGAUUAGUUGAUAAAAUGUG